CUUGGUGUGUGUCUUCCUCUUGCUCUCCCUGGGCGCGGCGACCCCUUACGGCUCCAAUUGGAAUAAGCAUGAGUACCACAAUCCACAUGGAUGUGCAACCAACGUGCACCACGUCACCAAAAUAUUGAGCAGCACAGAAACUAGCACUGUUACGGUCACUGAAGCUACAGCCACAGAAACGGCGACGGUAACGGAGACAGAAACCGAAACGGAGACUCUUACAGAAACAUUUACUUCAGCAGUCGCCGGUAGCACAACAACUGAGAUCCUGACGACUGAAACGACCACCACAGAGUCCGUAACAGAAACCGCCACAUCAACCACAACAGCGACAGCCACAGAGACAGUAACAGAG